rnacentral:ncRNA from 1 species
ACGUCCGCGGUAACUAUAACCGUGUUAAAGUAGAAACAUACGCACUGCUUUAGUAAAAUCUGGCUAUAUGCUGGAAAAUCUGUCGUAUCCGGCGCUACUCUGGUAUAAUAAAGUAAGGAAUAAUAAUACCUUAUCAUCAUGCCAAGUGACAAAGCGUCCGGUGCAGACAAUCAGCAGGAAAGACUAAUUAAAAGUAAAUUUAAUUAGAAUCCUCAGAGACCAUACGCCAGACCCCGCUAGGCGGGGAAGAUAUGGCCCGAACUUCAUGGCGACAUGAAG